rnacentral:misc_RNA from 1 species
GAUGAAGAACGUAGCGAAAUGCGAUAAGUAGUGUGAAUUGCAGAAUUCAGUGAAUCAUCGAAUCUUUGAACGCACAUUGCGCCCCUUGGUAUUCCAUGGGGCAUGCCUGUUCGAGCGUCAUUUGUACCUUCAAGCUUUGCUUGGUGUUGGGUGUUUGUCCUGAGGGACUCGCCUUAAAGUAAUUGGCAGCCAGUGUUUGGUUUUGAAGCGCAGCACAAGUCGCGAUUCAAGGCUAUACACCAGCUUCCACAAGCCUUUUUCACUUCUGACCUCGGAUCAGGUAGGGAUACCCGCUGAACUUAAGCAUAUCAAUAAGCGGAGGA